UACCAUGGCAGGGCGUAGCGGGGGAGCUUAGCGCUCACCGGGUUCUUGGAUACCGGUCUAUCAAUCCUGUUACGUCUUGCCACCCUG
rnacentral:antisense_RNA from 1 species